UAGCUAAACGGGAGAAGCUAUAGCGCUAUAUGUCAAUAUUAAAAUCAUAAGCGUAUAGCUUUUCCCCUUGGUUA
rfam:Bombyx mori DNA, contig: Bm_scaf5_contig5086, strain: p50T/Dazao, build 2, whole genome shotgun sequence.